CCCUUAGAUGUUCUGGGCCGCACGCGCGCUACACUGACGAAUGCAACGAGCUUAUAACCUUGGCCGAAAGGUCUGGGUAAUCUCCAAAUUUCGUCGUGAUGGGGAUAGAUUAUUGCAAUUAUUAAUCUUCAACGAGGAAUGCCUAGUAAGCGCAAGUCAUCAGCUUGCGUUGAUUACGUCCCUGCCCUUUGUACACACCGCCCGUCGCUCCUACCGAUUGGAUGGUCCGGUGAAGCGUUCGGACCGUGGCCUUUGGACGGUUCGCCGUCUGUUGGCUGCGGGAAGUUCGUUAAACCUUAUCAUUUAGAGGAAGGAGAAGUCGUAACA
rnacentral:rRNA from 1 species